AAAGUAAGGGCGUAUGGGGAAUGCCUAGGCUCUCAGAGGCGAUGAAGGACGUGAUAAGCUGCGAUAAGUUGCGGGGAUUGGCACAUACAAAUUGAUCCGUAGAUAUCCGAAUGGGGCAACCCAGCAUGUUGAAGACAUGUUACACCGAAAGGUGAGCAAACCCGGAGAACUGAAACAUCUAAGUACCCGGAGGAAGAGAAAACAAUUAGUGAUUCCGUUAGUAGUGGCGAGCGAACGCGGAACAGCCCAAACCAUAUUAGUUACGGCUAAUAUGGGGUUGUAGGACCACGAUAUCUUAACAAAACAGAACUUGAAUUACCUGGGAAGGUAAGCUAUAAAAGGUGAAAGCCCUGUAAAGGAAAUGUUUUGAGCGGUAGUGGUAUCCUGAGUAGGGCGGGACAGGUGAAAUCCCGUUUGAAUCUACCGGCACCAUCCGGUAAGGCUAAAUACUCCUGAGAGACCGAA
rnacentral:rRNA from 11 species